AAGCAGUUUUAGUGUAUAGAUCAUUCCCCUGCAAUUUCACUGCUCUAUUCACUGUCAUUUAGGAGUUAAAUCACUUUGUUUCUGUUUAUGCAGCCCUAGCCACACCUCCCCUGGCUAUGAUUGACAGAGCCUGCAUGAAAAAAAAAACUGGUUUCACUUUCAAACAGAUGUAAUUUACCUUAAAUAAUUGUAUCUCAAUCUCUAAAUUGAACUUUAAU